rnacentral:rRNA from 1 species
GAAUGGCACCACGAAGGUUAUACUGUCUCCUUUCCCCAAUCAGUGAAACUAAUCUCCCCGUGAAGAAGCGGGGAUAGAAAUAUAAGACGAGAAGACCCUAUGGAGCUUUAAACAAUGCAGCAACUGCUACUACUCUGUACAGACCCCAGAGUCUCUAAAUUUCCUUAGCACUUUGACGGCAAGUUUUAGGUUGGGGUGACCGCGGAGAAUAAUAUAACCUCCACGCUGAAAGAACCUUAUUCUUAGCCAAGGGCUACUACCCUAAGCACCAAUAUACUGACAUCUAUUGACCCA